rnacentral:rRNA from 1 species
UACGUAGGGUGCAAGCGUUAAUCGGAAUUACUGGGCGUAAAGCGUGCGCAGGCGGCUUUGCAAGACAGAUGUGAAAUCCCCGGGCUUAACCUGGGAACUGCAUUUGUGACUGCAAGGCUAGAGUACGGUAGAGGGGGAUGGAAUUCCGCAUGUAGCAGUGAAAUGCGUAGAUAUCGGAAGGAACAUCAGUGGCGAAAGCGGCUUCCUGGACCAGUACCGACGUUCAGGCACGAAAGCG